UUCUGUUACUGAGAUCUGUAUUUACUAAGACUCAUUUCCCAGACCAUUCCUUGCUGUUAGGUUAUAUUGUUGCAAAGUUUAAUUGAAUUAUUAGAAGAACUCUACAUUUGUUUCUGAAGCCCAGUAAUCUUUUCUGGAUGAAGAUCUAAUACCCCAUGACCUGCAACCAGGAGAUUAUGCAUACUGGAAAUGACAUGAUUUAAAGGACUGUCUCCAAGCAGGAUGGAAGGACCUUUAUCAGGUACUCUUAACUAGCUCAUGCACAGUAAAGCUGAAGGAAAUUGACUCUUGGAUUAGUUUUCAUUCAGAAAGGGCCCUUGCACUGGACUGGCCUGUAGAGAAGACUGCUGACCACCUUAAAACAAUAUUCACACAAAGGAGAAGCUACUACACCAGGAUGAGAUGAAGAUGACAUCUGAGAAAGGGCCCCUGCACUGGACUGGCCUAUAGAGAGGACUGUUGCACCUUAAAACAUAGCUCAAAUGGAGAAGAAGCUACCAGACAAGGAUGAGAAGAAGUAGACAGCUGACUCAAGACACUGGACCAGAAUCAAAAGCACAGUGGGCCAACCAUGCCAGAUCCGCAGCAAGCGCUCAGGACAGUCUAUGAGGCAAAGUUGCUCAGGCUGGAGAGGAUCCCAAUGCUGCCACCAGCCAGGAGCCUAUACGCCAAGGGUGAGAUGCUCACUUAGGACAGCUUCCCCUUAGUAGUCACCCACAUUUUUACCGAACCGAACUUGUCCUCUUGCCUGCUGCGCGGCAAAGCCAAUGUACUGCUGACACCGGACCGAGGUGGAGGAAAAUACAGCAUUUAUUCCAAGGCCAAAUGAGGAAAACUCUUGCUCAGAAGACCCAAAUCCCCCGAUAGCUUUCAGGGCAACAUUUAGGGUGAGGUUGCAGCUCAUGGACUUUCUUCUGAUUGGUUGGAGGUGAGGUUACAGGAUGAUGUUUCAGGAAUCUUAAUCAUCAACCUUCUGGUUGCAACUAGUCUGCGCUCUAGCCAUGGUCAGCAUGUCGUCACAGCCACCACCUGGGAAGGGGUCUCAGUUCCUGCAGCACAGACUCAGAGAUAUGCAGCAGAUUGUGAUGUAUAUCCCCUUUAGGAGGAACUAGGAUUCUGUUUUAUCACUGAACUAUUGUUUAAGCUAUCACUCCUUUUCUUACAUAAAUGCUUUUCUUUUGAUUUUGCAUUUCCUCAAUUCUCUAAUUACUAACUGUUGGACUCUGCUUUUUAGAACUGGGGAAGGCCUAGCAGGCUGAAGUCUUUUUUCUACAAACAAGAAAUGGGAGCCAUAGAGGGGGUAUUGUACCCGAGAAGGCCCCGCAGGGUCCUGCUCUGUAUCAACCCCCACUUUUCUUUGAUACUUCUCAGUCCCAUGGAAGACAGGGGUUGGACAGGAAAAGAAAGUUUUGGAUAGAGAGAUUGAUAUUAAACUCAGCCAGCUCUGUUUACAAGGCUACGUGACUCAUUUGACUUCUGAGAGCUAUCAGUGAUUUUUUUUAAACCCUUUUAACGAAGUUGUUCAAAGAGUCACUGCUGGAAGAUUUGAAGGUUCUGAUGUGUCAGUCAUGAUGCAGCCAGUAAGAAAUGCUUUGCAGGUCACCCCUAUCUUUACUGCCCAAAUGUUUGUAUGGAAUUCUGGUGACCACAUAUUCCAAAGCUAAAAUUGUGGGUGUGAGCUGACAAUAUAAAUUCAGGAUUGAACUGGAAAGAGCCAGGUCCUGUAACUGAUUCUCCUUAUUCUGAGACUGUUUUUCAAAGGUUUGUCCCAGAGAGUUCCAGAGAGUUUUGUACCAGCAUUUGAAUACACAAUUCAGCUUUCUACUGAUAAAUGCCUGAACAUCGUGUAAGGAGAAGCCCUUCUCCCUCUGCUGUUCUGUCUCUCAUCGAUUAGAAGAGUUGGAUUUGGUAGCAGUCAUGAGCCCAAGGCUACCAGGGAAGAGGGGCCACACCAGGUUUCUACUGACCCCUUCCUCACACAACGUGAUAUCAGACUUACAGAGGAGUAGGAAAUGGACUAACUUUCCUGAUGCGAGAACUGCUGAUUGUUCAAUUUGCUUUGUCUCCCUUACCAUUUUUUUUAUGCUAAACAACCCACAAGCAUUCAAUAGCUUUAACCAGGGAGGACGCCCAUAAUCCCAGAAGAAUGGACAGAGCCUCCGAAGUUCCUCCAUGAGGGCAAGAAGAUCAUCAGUAUUAAGAGGAUUGUAGCACCCUGUAAAACGCCCUGAUUGUUGUCACCUUGUCUGUUCCAUCCAGUUUUCUAUAAAACCUCAAGACCCAAAGCCCAAGAUGGAUUCACGGUCUCUAAGGUAUGAGCCUGCUGCAAAGCAAUAAAGCUGUUCUUUCCUAAGCCCCCCAAACUCUGCCUCCAAGUCUCAAUUCUUUUUUAGGGCACAGAAUCUGGUUUUGCGGCAAAAGGUCCACCUUCCUCCUCCUGUUGCGGCAAUAAGUACGUCUCCCACCUCUCGCACUUCUAAGCCGCAUGCCUCCAGGCGCCUCUCUCAAUUGAAAGAUUAAUCAGUAACUACCUACUUGGUUGGCCCAGCCCCAAGCUAACAAUUGUUCUAGCCUUUGGACCAGAACGGCUCCAGCAAGUUCGGUCCUCCACAGGAAAUAGCCCCACCCCCACAGUUGCUAACCUGAGGAGCAGUUGGGGGACGCCUUCCAGCAGGCCACUCACAACUAAGGAGCCCUUCUGGCGUCAGGCCCACUGUAACUGAUCGCCUCUUCCUCCCUUGGGUAGCCAAGAUCGCUGCCUUUCUCUGCCAGCUCACUGAAUAUGCAGAGGGGUUUCACUCCAGGACCUUAGCCUCUGACUUAUAAGGGUCCCUUUCUGAUAUAGUGUUGAUCUCUGACUCUGGGCUCCUUUUUCAGUCUCAAGACUUGGAAGUUGCAAGAAUGUGUUGACUGAAUAAAAAAAGCAUAACCUAAAAGUUGAGAGUUAUGUUUUAUCCUGUGGACAUUUCUGAGGACUCAAACCUCUCGAUCACUCUGAGGGACUGCUUCAAAGAGGUAGGGGAGGCCAGGAUAUA